UCGACCCGCUGAAUUUAAGCAUAUCACUAAGCGGAGGAAAAGAAACUAACUAGGAUUCCCUUAGUAACGGCGAGUGAAGAGGGAAUAGCCCAGCACCGAAGCCUGCGGCAGUUUUGCUGUUAGGCAAUGUGGUGUUUGGGUCGGCUCGUGGGAUUGCCACUCCACUCGAAGUCCAGCAUUGAGUAUGGUUCCCUGGAUUUGGCCCAGAGAGGGUGAAAGGCCCGUGCGAGUGGAUGUUUCAGACAUGUAAGGCAAUUCACCAGGCCGGCCUUAGAGUCGGGUUGUUUGAGAAUGCAGCCCUAAGCGGGUGGUAAACUCCAUCCAAGGCUAAAUACUAGCACGAGUCCGAUAGCGAACAAGUACCGUGAGGGAAAGUUGAAAAGUACUUUGAAGAGAGAGUAAACAGUACGUGAAACCGCAUAGAGGUAAACGGGUGGCGUCAAGCUGCAAGCCCAGAGGAUUCAGUUGGUCAGGAUGUUGUAUGUGCCUAGCGCAUCUAUCAGUCGGUAUUAGAUCGGGUAGUCCGCCGGGAAACGGUGGGCCCAGCCGCAAGGUUGGGAUUUGCGUACCGGGAGAUUGCCGGAGCAUGCUGCCUAUCUGUUGGACUGCCUGGCCGAUGCACUUCCUCUGUUCAGGUGAACACCACGACCGGUGGUACUGCCAGUCUGUUGUGGCCAAGUUGUAUCUAGUUGGCAUUCGUGUCACCUGGAUGCAAUCACAGGCAAUGUCAUUGUCCGGCGUUCAAACGUUCGCGUUUGUUCGUGUUAUCGGGCCGUGCUUGUCAACGGGUCUGUUCGUCGAUUGCUGUAGUCGUCGGCGGAUGGCCUGGUGGGCCAUGAUGGUAAGAAUAACUGUGCAGGGCACCGGAGUUCGCGGUCUCUAAUCUGGCUCACAUACACAUUACAGUGGAGCGGAGCGUUAUUGCGGCCUGCCUGUGGUUGGGUCUGAUUUCCGUGUCGCCUGCGCAAAGUAGGCCCGGUUUUGGCCUGGCUCUGGUUGGAGUCGUGGAUAGCGUUUCCUGUGUGAGUCGGUGUGGACCAAACAGUCAGUGGUGUAGUGGUAGACCAGCCACCCGACCCGUCUUGAAACACGGACCAAGGAGUUUAACAUGCGCGCAAGUCAUGGGGUCUUACGAAACCCAAAGGCGCAGUGAAAGUAAAGCCUCGACUUGUUCUCGGGGUGUGGUGAGAUCCUGCUGUUACUCGCAUCUGUACUUGUGCAUUGUGUCAGCACUAGGCAAAGAGCAGCAGGCGCAUCACCGGCCCGUCCCAUGAUGUGGUCAUUGGUCGGUUGUAGUCGUGGGCUUCGGCUUGUGGCUGCAGCUCCAGUGCGUCAUCGGGGCGGAGCAUGAGCGCGCAUGUUGAGACCCGAAAGAUGGUGAA
rnacentral:rRNA from 1 species